CUCCCCAACCCUACCAUCUUUCAUUCAAACAUCUGUCUGAAGAACACCAGUCUCCAUGGCCUUGUAUAUUAACCAAAGUCCAUGUAUUCUCGGUAGAGAAAUUGAAGACGAAGCACUGGUGGAAUUCUUUGAUAGUCGGGGUGAGGCUAAGAGGAGAAGUGAAUUGCCAAUUCUUUAACAAGUUCUAGUGAGGAAAAUAAAAAACCCUCUCUCCCAUGCAAGGCAUCGUCUCCAGCAACCUUGUGCACUCAUGCUACACCUCCCUAUAAAGCAUCCUCCAAUUUAAAAACAAGAGAAAAAAAAAUAUACUUAAAAUCCUCAAAAUCCAAAACAAAAUUAGGUUGAGAAACAAAGCUAUGACUUACGAGUUAUGGGAGAAUGAAGGGAGGUUGUCCGGUGGAGAUUGGUGGAUGCGAUAAGGUGACAAAAACUUGAGAAGAAAAGGUACUAUUGUUAUGAGUUAUGAGAGAAAAGAGAGAGGUGGUGGAGGCAACUUAUGAGUAAAAGAGAGGGAGGAGAUCUGGUGGACAAUCUGGACAUCGAUAGAGAUCGGUCGAGCGAGAAAAGGUUUAGAAAGAAAA